CUAAACAAUGAUUAAGCACCUCCAACUGUUUUCUAAUGGUAUAAAAGCAGUGUUUCGGCUGAGGCCGGCAUUCUGAGCUCCUCAGUCGACCCGCAACAAACAACAUGAACUUCUCACUGUUCUUCUUCGUGGUAGCCUUGGUGCUGGCCCUCGCCGCCGCCGCACCACAGCUUGAUGCUGUCAACAACGUUCCUGUUAUUGGAGGUAUUUUUGGAGAUGUGGCCAAACCUGUCGAAGAAGUAGCUAAAGGUGUUGGAGUCUAAUCAAGACGCGACUACUCGAAUACCGACCACUAAGGACAACUAGUACAACAAAUGCCAGCAGUAGACAGUUACACAAUCAGAAAACAGCCUGAAACUACUCAAUAGAAAAUAUUUUUUGUAAAUUAUUACUAUAACAAUUGUACCCUGGACUUCAUGAAUAAAUAACCAACUCAAUUUUUGUUUUA